UUUUUUCUUUUAACCGCUGAGCAGUCUAGUUUGAAGAUUAAUAAGGCCAUUCUUCAUACUAAUUUCACACUUAAUGCAAUUUCAUGCUUUGGUAAAUUCCCUUACUCAAGUGCUCAGAUAAUAAGUACAGUGAUGCAUUCCACCAAACACACUUACAAAACAAACUUGUCAACCUGCUACUGUCAAGAGUGAGAACAAAUGACAGCUAGUCAUCUGAACUUGUUCUAUUUUAAUGUUCACUCAAGUACUUGAUGCCUCCAGUCCAGCAAGUCUCUGAACUUCUCUGGAACAAGAAAGGUAAGACACAUCCUAGUGCUUUCUCUGCAACUCUGAGGUGACUUCCAGAAAGUGUUUCUACGUGCUGCUGAAAUUCCAAGUUCACAACUCUUACCCGAAGGGUGGAAUUUAGCCUGGAACUCCUUUUUUAAUCCCAAUAGUUCACAAACUAAAUCACUUUGCCUCCCCAGGAUUCUCAAACUCUUGUUUGUGUUAUAUUCUAAACCCCCUCCCUUUUCUAUAAAAAUAAAAUAAAGGUCUUCUUAUGCUUCCACAUCCAUUUUCAUGAGCAAACUUUUCUAAUUUCAUUCAGCAGGUGUCACAGGAUUUCUGCAAAACUUACAAGACACCUUUUGUAAAUGAGAACUCUAACCGCUGAAGAAACUGAACAGCUGGGCAAGGGUCACACUGCACGUGCAUCACUUGGACGUGCGAAGCAAUGUUUGAAUAAUUAUUAGAUUUUUGCCCUUGAGGCCCUUCCUCUUUCAAACUUCCCUAAUACAAUUCUCAAAAUGCUGAAAUAAUCACAUUCCACGGACUUUCCUAUAAGAGGGUUUAUGGUGUCUUAUGAAUGCUGUUUUCCAGAAAAGCCUAUGCUGUCAACUUUGUUUUUCAAUGUCCUUAAGCAAUUCUAUUAGUCACAGAGAAAAAGUGAACAUUUGCUAAUGAUUAGAGAGAGAGAGAGAGAGAGAAGAGCAUCUAAGGGCUGAGGAAGGGAGUGGCCAGAAGCGGUCUUAGCUGGGAGGGGAGAUAGAAGAGACCAAAGCAACACCACCCAGAUUGGACCACAGAAAAGUUGCACUUCCCAAAGUCAACUUCCAAGGUUUCGCUGGGUCCUGAAGUUACAAGUAUCAACAUUUUCACGAGAAAACCAAGCCUCAACCAGGGAUUCCAAGCAAAUGGAGAAAGAGUAAGGGAAUGUGUCUGACUGGAUUGCAAAACCUUUUCAAAAUCAGGUGCUCAAUGACAGCUAAGGGUGUCUUCCUCCAUAGCCUCUGGCCCUGGCUUGUGUGCAGACUCAGAUAAGAGGAAGAGACAGCAAAGGCAAAGCGCCUUCCCGGGCAGGCCUCCCUCCGGCGCUCUCCCCGCCCCUUCCUCCCUUCCCUCAGGCAGGGGCCCGCCCGCUCGAGGCUCGCUCCCGGGCC
rnacentral:lncRNA from 1 species